CCUACGGGAGGCAGCAGUGAGGAAUAUUGGUCAAUGGACGCAAGUCUGAACCAGCCAAGCCGCGUGCAGGAAGACGGUUCUAUGAGUUGUAAACUGCUUUUGUACGAGGGCAAAUGCAGAUACGCGUAUCUGUUUGAAAGUAUCGUACGAAUAAGCAUCGGCUAACUCCGUGCCAGCAGCCGCGGUAAUACGGGGGAUGCAAGCGUUAUCCGGAUUUAUUGGGGUUAAAGGGUGCGUAGGCGGGGAGGGAAGGCAGCGGGGAAAUGUCCCGGCUCAACGGGGUGACGUGCCGUUGACACUGGCGUGCUGGAGUGCGCGAGCGGUAGGAGGAAUGUGUGGUGUAGCGGUGAAAUGCAUAGAUAUCACGCAGAACACCGAGUGCGAAGGCAGCAGACGGGCCCGCAAUUGACGCUGAUGCACGAAAGCGUGGGUAUCGAACAGGAUUAGAUACCCGGGUAGUC
rnacentral:rRNA from 1 species